rnacentral:sRNA from 1 species
CUCUUUUGGAAACAGCAGCCAUGUUGAAUGCCCCCACCAGACUGGGUCUCUGACAUCCUGGAAUGUGAGCAUGGAUACUCAAGCCCAGCAGCUGAUUCUUCACUUCUCCUCAAGAAUGCAUGCCACCUUCAGUGCUGCCUGGAGCCACCCAGGCUUGGGGCAGGACACUUUGGUGCCCCCCGUGUACACUGUCAGCCAGGUAUGGCCUUGCCCCCACUAGGUCCUAUUGCUCAGAGCACAGCCCUCAAUUUCCUUGUGACCUCAUUGAGAUAGACCCUGGGAAGGUAGAAACAAACAAAUCCCUGACUUUUACCAUCUGGUUUACUUUAUUUACGUGAUCAGCCUCCGUUAGGUUCCUCAAGGGAGCAUUUUCUUUUUUUUCUUUUUUCUUUUCUUUUUUUUUU